rnacentral:lncRNA from 1 species
AUGGGGACCUGGAAAUCUGAAGAACCAUUUGCUGCUGCUGCUGCUGCCUUGCAAGCAUCAGAAAAACAAGAGCUACACCAAUCACCAAUCCACUUUGGUGUUAGUGCAGAUUUGGUGCGAGUGCAUGUGGAAUUUGGACUAGCCGUCGCCGCCGCCGCCUCCGGGAAGGACGACAUCGACGCUGCCACCGUCGCCGGGAACAACGAGUUCGCUGCUGCUGUUGCUUGCUAUAACGUCGCCGCCGCUACCGUCGCGGGGAAGGACGACAUCAACGCCGCUGCCGCCGGGAAGGAAGACAUCGACGCCGCCGCCACCGGGAACGACGAGUUCGCUACCGCCGCCGCUUACUUCAACGCUGCUGCCGCUGGGAAGGACGAGUUCGUUGCCGCCGCCGCGGCCUGCUUCAACGCAUGCCGGAAUCCGCCGCUCGCCGCCACUUGAUUGCUUCAAC